AAACUAUGGUGAGGCACAUUUUCUCAGCAAAUCUUUAAAUCUUUCCCAAGCUUCAUAUAAGCUUCUUGAUCAUGAUGAACGAAAGUCAAUGAUCUCAUUUCUCAAUUU